rnacentral:rRNA from 1 species
UACGUAGGGUGCGAGCGUUAAUCGGAAUUACUGGGCGUAAAGCGUGCGUAGGCGGUUCGUUAAGUUCGUUGUGAAAGCCCCGGGCUCAACCUGGGAAUGGCAAUGGAAACUGGCGGGCUGGAGUAUGGCAGAGGGGGGUGGAAUUCCACGUGUAGCAGUGAAAUGCGUAGAGAUGUGGAGGAAUACCGAUGGCGAAGGCAGCCCCCUGGGAUAACACUGACGCUCAUGCACGAAAGCGUGGGGAGCAAACAGG